GCUUGGCAAGGUGGCACAUGCCUGUAAUCCCAGGGGCUUGGGAGGCUGAGGCAGGAGGAUCAUGAGUUCAAAGUGAGCCUCAGCAAUUUAUUGAGGCCCUAAGCAACUCAAUGAGACCCUGUCUCUA
rnacentral:sRNA from 1 species